GAAAUACUCCCUCCGUCCGGAAAUACUUGUCAUCAAAAUGGAUAAAAGGAAAUGUAUCUAGACAUAUUUUAGUUUUAGAUACAUCUAUUUUUAUCCAUUUUGAUGACAAGUAUUUUCGGACGGAGGGAGUAGAAA
rnacentral:pre_miRNA from 1 species